CUGAGUUACUCCCAGAAAAAGAGGAGACUUCUCAAGCUGACCAGGAUAUCCAAGACAAAGAGCCUCAUUGCCACAUCCCAAUUAAGAGAAAUUCCAUCUUCAAUCGCUCCAUAAGACGCAAAAGCAAAGCCAAGGCCAGAGACAACCCCGAACGGAACGCCAGCUGCCUGGCAGUGACUCCUUCAUGUCACCUCCUUGGAGCGAAUUCUUUUGACUGCUCAGUACUUCCUGAUCCAAGAAUCCAAGGAGAAAAUGUC
rnacentral:lncRNA from 1 species